rnacentral:rRNA from 1 species
AUAUACUUUCUUUAUUUUAUAUAAAUNAAUUAAUUUUUUAGUUAAAAAGCUAAGAUUUUUUUAUAGGACGAGAAGACCCUAUAGAACUUUAUUUUCUANAUAUAUAUAUUUUAUAGAUUUUUAAAAUAUUAUAUAUUANUAGUUAAUUUAAUUGGGGUGAUUGAAAAAAUUAUAUAACUUUUUCUAUUUUUAUCAUUUAUUUAUGAUGUUUUU